GGUAUAUAAUACGGUUUAAUUGUAUAUAUGUCUUCCAUCUUUCAGGCCAAAUUUUGGAGAAAUCCCAGAAAGUAGACUAAAACACGAUAUUUUUCAAUAAUCUCGCAAAAAAUUGAAGGAUAAAAUUUAUAACACGGUGAAAACUAAACGAAAUAAAAAAAUCGAAAAAAGAGGUGCAACANNNNNNNNNNNNNNNNNNNNNNNNNNNNNNNNCAUGGACUUCCCAGGAGGUCACCCAUCCUAGUACUACUCUCGCCCAAGCACACUUAACUGCGGAGUUCUGAUGGGAUCCGGUGCAUUAGUGCUGGUAUGAUCGCAUCAGGUGUAUUAUACGGUUUAAUUAUAUAUAUGUCUUCCAUCUUUCAGGCCAAAUUUUGGAGAAAUCCGAGAAAGUAGACUAAAACACGAUAUUUUUCGUUAAUCUCGCCAAAAAUUGAAGGAUAAAAUUUAUAACACGGUGAAAACUAAACGAAAUAAAAAAAAAUCGAAAAAAGAGGUGCAACACAAGGACUUCCAGGAGGUCACCCAUCCUAGUACUCCUCUCGCCCAAGCACGCUUAACUGCGGAGUUCUGAUGGGAUCUGGUACAUUAGUGCUGGUAUGAUCGCACCUGGUAUAUAAUACGGUUUAAUUGUAUAUAUGUCUUCCAU
rnacentral:lncRNA from 1 species